GAGAGGAGCAAGGCCCAAGGAAGCAAAGAGACAUCCAGAUUGUUUGCCUUUUAUGUUGCCAGCUCCAGUUUUCUGCAACUCCCACGGCUCUGCUAAAACCUCUUGAAAAGGACCAUGGUGCUCCCUGGGUAAACUCAGUGUGAUUAGUAUCAGAAUAAUUGCAAACAACUUCUAUGUAGAAGAAUCCGCCAUCACCCAGAGUCCCAGCCUGACCCACGGUCCUUGAAGAAAGCCUCCAACAGGAGCUUGUAUAAUUUUAGAGUGGGCGUUUCUUUCAAAUUAGUAAGAAAAGGGAAGAAAUAAAGUAAAAAAAGAUUUAUUCUUUAAAAGAAUCUGACAACA